GACACGGCCCAGACUCCUACGGGAGGCAGCAGUGGGGAAUAUUGGGCAAUGGAGGCAACUCUUACCCAGCAAUGCCGCGUGAAUGAAGAAGGUCUUCGGAUUGUAAAGUUCUUUAAUUGGGGACGAAAAAAAUGACGGUACCCAAGGAAUAAGCCCCGGCUAACUACGUGCCAGCAGCCGCGGUAAUACGUAGGGGGCAAGCGUUGUUCGGAAUGACUGGGCGUAAAGGGUGUGUAGGCGGUGUAGCAAGUUAGAAGUGAAAUACCUAGAGCUUAACUCAGGUGCUGCUUCUAAAACUGCUAUACUUGAGUGCAGUAGAGGAAAGUGGAAUUCCUAGUGUAGCGGUGGAAUGCGUAGAUAUUAGGAGGAACAUCAGUGGCGAAGGCGACUUUCUGGACUGUAACUGACGCUGAGGCACGAAAGUGUGGGGAGCAAACAGGAUUAGAUACCCUGGUAGUCCACACUGUAAACGAUGGAUACUAGGUGUAGGAGGUAUCGACUCCUUCUGCGCCGAAGCUAACGCAUUAAGUAUCCCGCCUGGGGAGUACGGCCGCAAGGUUGAAACUCAAAGAAAUUGACGGGGACCCGCACAAGCAGCGGAGCAUGUGGUUUAAUUCGAAGCAACGCGAAGAACCUUACCAAGACUUGACAUCGUGCGACGGAUAUGGAAACAUAUCGUUCCUUCGGGACGCAUAGACAGGUGGUGCAUGGUUGUCGUCAGCUCGUGUCGUGAGAUGUUGGGUUAAGUCCCGCAACGAGCGCAACCCUUAUAACUAGUUGCCAAUAUUAAGUUAGGAACUCUAGUUAGACUGCCGUGGAUAACACGGAGGAAGGUGGGGAUGACGUCAAAUCAUCAUGCCCCUUACGUCUUGGGCUACACACGUGCUACAAUGGCUAUUACAAAGAGCAGCGAGCUGGUAACAGUAAGCGAAUCUCAAAAAGAUAGUCUCAGUUCGGACUGUGGGCUGCAACCCGCCCACACGAAGUCGGAGUUGCUAGUAAUCCCGAAUCAGAAUGUCGGGGUGAAUGCGUUCCCGGGUCUUGUACACACCGCCCGUCACGCCAUGGGAGUUGGGAGUACCCAAAGUCGGUGAGUUAACCCGCAAGGGAGACAGCCGCCUAAGGUAAGACCAAUGACUGGGGUGAAGUCGUAACAAGUUAGCCGUAUCGGAAGGUGCGGCUG
rnacentral:rRNA from 1 species